rnacentral:rRNA from 1 species
UGGGGAAUCUUAGACAAUGGGGGCAACCCUGAUCUAGCCAUGCCGCGUGAGUGACGAAGGCCCUAGGGUCGUAAAGCUCUUUCGCCCGUGAUGAUAAUGACAGUAGCGGGUAAAGAAACCCCGGCUAACUCCGUGCCAGCAGCCGCGGUAAUACGGAGGGGGUUAGCGUUGUUCGGAAUUACUGGGCGUAAAGCGCGCGUAGGCGGAUUGUAAAGUCAGGGGUGAAAUCCCGGGGCUCAACCCCGGAACUGCCCUUGAUACUUGCAGUCUUGAGUUCGAGAGAGGUGAGUGGAAUUCCGAGUGUAGAGGUGAAAUUCGUAGAUAUUCGGAGGAACACCAGUGGCGAAGGCGGCUCACUGGCUCGGUACUGACGCUGAGGUGCGAAAGCGUGGGGAGCAAACAGGAUUAGAUACCCCCGUAGUCC